rnacentral:rRNA from 1 species
GAUGAACGCUGGCGGCGUGCCUAAUACAUGCAAGUAGAACGCUCAAUUAGUAGCUUUCUUUUCUGCAUGAGUUGCGAACGGGUGAGUAACGCGUAGUUAACCUUCCUGAUAGCGUGGGAUAACUAUUGGUAACGAUAGCUAACACCACAUGAUAACAUUUAUUGUUUGAUAACUGUUGAUAAUUGGCAACUGCUCCACUACCAGCUGGUCCUUCGUGGUCUUAGCUAGUUGUUGCGGUAACGGCUCAACACGGCGACGAUACAUAGCCGACCCGAGAGGGUGAUCGGCCAAAAUGGGAAUGAGACACGGCCCAGAGUCAUACGGGAGGAAGCAGUAGGGAAUCUUCGGCAAUGGACGGAAGUCUGACCGAGCAAAGCCGCGUGAGUGAAGAAGGGUUUCGGAUCGGAAAGCUCUGUUGUAAGAGAAGAACGAGUGUGAGAGUGGAAAGUUCACACUGUGACGGUAUCUUACCAGAAAGGGACGGCUAACUACGUG